GUUUUGUUAUUUGCGCAAACUGCUACCGAGGUACGGUAACCAGUUAUUAGUAACUAGUUAGUUAAACAUCGCUCAUGAAUUACGUACAUAAACAACGAUGAGCAGUCAUCGAACUCUCAAAAAAGCCUUGAACGCAAUAGUCUACGCUUCCAUAGGUUUUCCUUCUUCGUUUUUUUUUUUUUUUUUUUGUAAAAAAAAAGAAAAUGAUUUGAGCGUGAAACUCUUGAACAGAUUCAAUCUCUUGACUGUCGCGUGCCAGGCCAAUCACCCUGCUUUACCAGCCCCAGCCCCUGUUGAUCCCACAGUGAUGCCUACGGAGUACGUAUGCGAUGCAGUGUGCAGCUACCAAGGUACCGCGGGUACAAGAGUACUCCAGGAUAAGUUAGACCGUGUUAGUGGCCUGCAUAAAGCGAUAGUAGCAUCGGUCUCGCCUCUUGUGGCCUCCAUCUAGCCCUCCAUACCAGCCCUCCAUACCAGCCCUCCGCUGAGCCCUACGCCGAGCCGUACGCGUAGACCAGUGCGUAUACCUCCACGUUGCCCGACCGGUAAGGUACUGGUAACUGCCGCCGACGGCCCGGCGGAUCACGCUCAGGUGAUUUCUUACCGGUCGGUAUCUCUGAUUAACUGGGUGGGAGAGCCUCAGAACACAUCCCCCGCAAUUUGCUUGUGAAAAUCUCCCAGAUUACAACCCUGGCUUGCUUUAUUUGGAUUUUCUUAGCAACAACCACCUAAAUAAAUAACAAGCUCCAUUCAAGUUGUAAUGAAUUGAUUUCUCUUCUAACUUUAGUUUCUAAUUCCAAUAUUUGGGCUUGUUCGGGGGUGUGCGAUGAGCCUCGGUCUAGGGUGGGCGGGGACGAGACAAGUACGUCCUAUGAACUCUGUAUGAAAAUUGGAGUCGAAUUGAGUUUCUGUUUCGAAGUAAGUCUAUGACACACGAGUUGCCCAAUUUGGCGAUAGUAUCUAUACCUGAAAGAAGUUGCACACCCCGUUGUCCCAGCUUUACAUGCCCCAACCGAAGGUCAACCCCAACCCUUAUCGGAUUUCGUUACGUACGUUGCUAUUACUACGGAGUACGCCAUCAAUUCAUAACCACGAGGGUUAUAUUCGAUGUCCAGACCUCGGGACCGACCGAGCGCCCUGGAGCAAUGCUUCGUGGGAGUAUAAAAUACUAUUACAGUACCCAUGGGACGGAAUUUCGUCCUUGCUGUAUCUAGGACCAGAGUCGGGAAUGCCGCAACUUGUCACCAGCAUAGCAUGGAGCAAGACCGCUGUCGGUCUCUAUUUUUUGUUGGGCUUCUGAGGCCGGUCGAGCGUAUAUAGAAUCGGAAUAAUCUAUUACUCAAUCAGCCGUCGAUUAAAUGCAAUGAGAAAAAACACUUUAUCAUUGAACUGGGACUGGUGCCGUAGGUCGAUCGAUGAUUGUGAUUUGGCAUUCUGGGUGUCGAUUGGAUAUUGCCAAGGCAGUCUACUCCAUCUUGCUUAUGCCAUGAUAUCAUUCAAGCCUGCCCAAAUUGCUAUGGGAUAGCUUAGUGCUUUUGUUGUUGCUGUGGGGUAUGCAAACCAGAGAGGGGACCGGAGAACGCCUAUCCAUACUAUUAUUGUACGGUAUUAGAUAACGAUAGCUGUGUUUUAAGUUAUGCAUCAAUUACUAUCUAUAAAGUAACAUCACCGUAUUGAAGACACUGGACAAUAUUCCUUAAGGCUAAUCAUUAACUACUACCAACUUCAGAAAAACGUUCACCGUGAGGACGAUUUCACAAGUCACCCAGCUAGCUCCUUACUUAAUAUCAUUUCCAGUACUUGUUCUCAAUACCUGGCCAGCUUCUCCUCACAAGACGCUCGAUCGCAAAUACUUUUUCUUGUUCUGUUGGGAAAAAUGCUUGUGCUGGACCAUCGGGCAGGACGACGGGUAGCAAAAUGUACUUCCACUUUGGCAGAGAAGAGUGCUCCUGUGACGCAAUUCCAUUAUUCAACUUACCAAAGUACCUACGGACCAACCCAGCGGUACUGAUAUCCCGUGAGCCCUAGGUACUAUUCAUCUGAAACAUCAAAAAACGUACUAUGGAAUCCACCGGGGUCAACCACAGUGCAGUACUGUCGUUUUGAACCGGGACGACGUGUACAGAUUCUUGUUGGUUCAAAGUUUAGUGGUCACAUGGCAUGGGAUAGCUGAUGGAAAGAUUUCACGCUAAUACUAAUCCGGCUGGUAAACAAGAGGAACGAUAGGGACUGGUAAUAAUUGAUAUUGAUGCACACAUUCUAAA
rnacentral:lncRNA from 1 species